rnacentral:rRNA from 1 species
AUUGAACGCUGGCGGCAGGCCUAACACAUGCAAGUCGAACGGUAACAGGAAGCAGCUUGCUGCUUUGCUGACGAGUGGCGGACGGGUGAGUAAUGUCUGGGAAACUGCCUGAUGGAGGGGGAUAACUACUGGAAACGGUAGCUAAUACCGCAUAACGUCGCCAGACCAAAGAGGGGGACCUUAGGGCCUCUUGCCAUCGGAUGUGCCCAGAUGGGAUUAGCUAGUAGGUGGGGUAACGGCUCACCUAGGCGACGAUCCCUAGCUGGUGUGAGAGGAUGACCGGCCACACGGGAACUGGGACACGGUCCUGGCUCCUACGGGAGGCAGCAGUGGGGAAUAGUGGGCAAUGGGCGCAAGCCUGAUGCAGCCAUGGCGCGUGUAUGAAGAAGGCCUUCGGGUUGUAAAGUACUUUCAGCGGGGAGGAAGGGAGUAAAGUUAAUACCUUGGCUCAUUGACGUUACCCGCAGAAGAAGCACCGGCUAACUCCGUG